UACAGAGGGUGCAAGCGUUGUUCGGAAUUAUUGGGCGUAAAGGGCGCGUAGGCGGUUUGUCGCGUCUGCUGUGAAAACUGGAGGCUCAACCUCCAGCCUGCAGUGGGUACGGGCAGGCUAGAGUCCGGAAGAGGAGAGUGGAAUUCCCGGUGUAGCGGUGAAAUGCGCAGAUAUCGGGAGGAACACCGGUGGCGAAGGCGGUUCUCUGGGCCUGUUCUGACGCUGAGGAGCGAAAGCGUGGGGAGCGAACAGG
rnacentral:rRNA from 1 species